GAUCCGCCUGCCUUGACCUCCCAAAGUGCCGGGAUUACAGGUGUGAGCCACCGCACCUGGCCUAAAAAGUAAGCUUCUUAUAAGGACUCAGCAGGAGGCAUGCUUAGUGAAGCUAAUGAUAGCCAGUAUCCCUGCAAUGGGAGAUAAACCACCACU